rnacentral:rRNA from 1 species
UUAGUGUACUGCCCGUCUAAAGCGAUCUGUGCAAGAGACCGCCCAUCGACGUGUGUUGGUGUCCUCCUCCACCACAACACCUUCUUAUGCCGGACCCGUUUCGGUAUGAGAACGUAAGUUGACUUCAACUAUGGGUCGAAGAAGUCUGUUCAUGAACUGACAAGAAAAUCAAGAAGGGUGUGGGUUCAUGUCAGACUUGUUCAUUGGCGGAUACGGCACCGGUAGGUGGCGCACCUCCUGGAGAACCCGUGAAGGCAGCGUAACACCCAACUCGAAAACGUCGGGCGACGGACGACCUACGAAGAAGGGAAAUAGGAACCACACGUUCUGUACAAUAAAGAUUUUCACUACGGGUGACUACACAAACUAUGAAGCUGAAACUGUACUAGAGGGGGAAAAUUGGUCAAAUUC